rnacentral:rRNA from 1 species
GCUUACGACCACACCGGCCUGAGUACAGCCUGAUCUCGUCUGAUCUCGGAAGCUAGCAGGGUCGGGCCUGGUUAGUACUUGGAUGGGAUACCGCCUGGGAAUACCAGGUGCUGUAAGCU